AAAAUUCAAAAAUAUGAAAAUACUGUUUUAAUGCAUAGUUGCAUCCUGCACUAACAUAUGAUGAAGGUCGAAAUGGUUUGGAACAUUUGUUGUCUCCGUUUCUAUAGGGAAUAGCGAUUUUAUAGUGGUUAGUCCACUAAUUUCCGGAGUAUUAUGAAGUUUUACUAAAUUAAUUUAGAAAAAAAUAAAACGAUACCCAUGUACCAUGAAAGAAAGUUUAAUAUACACCAAUACAAUUUUUGAAUGUAUUCAGAAACUUUAAAACAACACUAAAGAUAUUUACCGAAAAACUCAAUAUUUUCAUAGGGGUUAACACAUAGAUUUUGAGAAAAAUUCAAAAAUAUGACAAUGUUGUUUUAAUGCAUAGUUACAUCAUGCACUAACAUAUGAUGAAGGUCAAAGAGGUAUUGAACCUUUGUUGUCUCUAUUUUUCUAGAGAAUAGCGACUUUAUAUUGGUUAGUCCACGAAUUUCAGAAGUAUUACGAAGUUUUACUAAAUUAUUGGAUAAAAAAUUAAAACGAUGCUCAUGUACCAUGAAAGAGAGUUGAAUAUACAUUAAUACAAAUAUAGAAUGAAUUUUGAAACUUUGAAACAACACUAAAGAUCAUAGGCUUCAGUAUAGAGAAUAUUUACCGAAAAACUCAAUAUUUUCGUAGGGAUUAACACAUAGAUUUUGAGAAAAAUUCAAAAAAUAUGAAAAUACUUUUUUAAUGCAUAGUUGCAUCCUGCACUAACAUAUGAUGAAGGUCGAAAAGUUUGGUACCUUUGUUGUCUCCGUUUCUCUAGAGAAUAGCGAUUUUAUAGUGGUUAGUCCACCAAUUUCGGGAGUAUUAUGAAGUUUUACUAAAUUAAUUGAUAAAAAAAUUAAAACGAUACCCAUGUACCAUGAAAGAGAGUUUAAUAAACAUUAAUACAAAUUUGUAAUGUAUUUUGAAACUUUAAAACAAUACUAAAGAUAUUUACCGAAAAACUCAAUAUUUUGUUAGGGCAACACAUUGAUUUUGGAAAAAAUUAAAAAAUAGGACAAUGUUGUUUUAAUGCAUAGUUGCAUCAUGCACUAACAUAUGAUGAAGGUCAAAGAGGUAUUGAACCUUUUUGUCACUAUUUCUCUAGAGAAUAGCGAUUUUAUAUUGGUUACUCCACCAAUUUCGGGAGUAUUACGAAGUUUUACUAAAUUAUUGGAUAAAAAAUUAAAACGAUGCCCAUGUACCAGGACAGGGAGUUGAUUAUACAUUAAUACAAAUAUAGAAGGAAUUUUGAAACUUUAAAACAACACUAAAGAUCAUAGGCUUCAUAUAUAGAGCAUUUACCGAAAACUCAAUAUUUUCGUAGGGGGUUAACACAUAGAUUUUGAGAAAAAUUCAAAAAUAUGACAAUGUUGUUUUAAUGCAUAGUUACAUCAUGCACUAACAUAUGAUGAAGGUCAAAGAGGUAUUGAACCUUUGUUGUCUCUAUUUUUCUAGAGAAUAGCGACUUUAUAUUGGUUAGUCCACGAAUUUCAGAAGUAUUACGAAGUUUUACUAAAUUAUUGGAUAAAAAAUUAAAACGAUGCUCAUGUACCAUGAAAGAGAGUUGAAUAUACAUUAAUACAAAUAUAGAAUGAAUUUUGAAACUUUGAAACAACACUAAAGAUCAUAGGCUUCAGUAUAGAGAAUAUUUACCGAAAAACUCAAUAUUUUCGUAGGUGUUAACACAUAGAUUUUUAGAAAAAAUUAAAAAAUUAUGAUAAUAUUGUUUUAAUGCAUAGUUGCAUCCCGAAGUAACAUAUGAUGAAGGUCGAAGAGGUUUAGAACCUUUGUUGUCUCCGUUUCUCUAGAGAAUACUGAUUUUAUAGUGGUUAGUCCACCAAUUUCGGGAGUAUUAUGAAGUUGUACUUAAAUAAUUGAUAAACGAUUUAAACAAUGCCCAUGUACAUUAAAAUAGAGUUAAAUAUAUAUUAAUAAAAAUGUAGAGUGUGUUUAGAAAUUGUAAAACACCACUAAAGAUCACGGGUUUCAGUAUAUAUAGCAUUUACCGAAAAGUCAAUAUUUUUGUAGGGAUUAACACAUAGAUUUUGAGAAAAAUUCAAAAAAUAUGAAAAUACUUUUUUAAUGCAUAGUUGCAUCCUGCACUAACAUAUGAUGAAGGUCGAAAAGUUUGGUACCUUUGUUGUCUCCGUUUCUCUAGA